AUGUUAUUUAUACUCGACCUGCAGGUUGGGACUUAUUAGGUGAAAGAGAAAAAGUCCAGACGGUGUGCAUCGGGAAGGAAUUUAGUCUGCCAGUGGACUCCACGUCGAGGAUUGUGACUUUCACGCCAAGCCCCGAUGGGCCGAGACGUGUCCUGCUGGACAAGACCACUGUGAAGGAUCCACGGUUCAAGUGGACCAGAGAUAAAACGUUGGUCCUGAAAGAAGUGACUCACAGUGAUCAGGGGCUUUAUGUCAGUGGCAGUAAAGGCCUCAGCAAAGCAUCACAAAUGAGGACACUCACUGGAGCAAUGACUGCCUGAAGUCACAUUUCCUCCAGUUUGAAUGUGAGUAUCGUCUGAUUCAGGGGUUCUCAAAGUUCUGCAAGCUGGGCCUCCCUAAAGGUGGUUGGAAAGACAUGUAGAGGCAGCAGCAGCAGCGAUCAAAUGUAAACAUCGGUAUUAAGUGUAAUAAACUUCAUCACCAGAGUCUCUCUCAUUAACACACCUGUCUGACCAAAAUAGCCCCUCUCAUCCACACAGACACACCUGUGUUCACCAAGCUACAGGUUUCACAGCAGCUCAUUACACCACACCACUGUUUAACGGAGAUCUGCUGAUGAAGUUUUUACAGUUAAUACUGAUGUUUACAUCAGAUCGUUGCUCUGUGUGUGUGCGUGCUGACUGAUUGCCAGUGGUCGGUCGAAGUAGGACGCUUGUCCUGCUUGCUUGAUCGUUUGAGUGGCUGGGGCACAAUAGUAGGUGCUCUGUGUGAAACAGUGCACUGUUGAG